GGCCACGCGGAUUCAGUGUUUACCUUGGCUGAUUCCGAAGAUCUCUCACCAUGACCCAUAACCGCUAUAUGGAUCUAGCGGACCGGGCGCUCGAGCAGUGGCCAGCUCUGCUGCACGGCUUGACUUCAAGGCAGGCACUGGAGCAAGUAAAAAACAAGAUUCAAUGGCGUGUGAGGAACUAUAAACGACCGGACCCGGGUGUCAUGGGAUCAUUCAAG
rnacentral:lncRNA from 1 species